rnacentral:rRNA from 1 species
ACUCCUACGGGAGGCAGCAGUGGGGAAUAUUGCACAAUGGGGGAAACCCUGAUGCAGCCAUGCCGCGUGUGUGAAGAAGGCCUUCGGGUUGUAAAGCACUUUCAGUAGGGAGGAAGGUAGUGUAGUUAACACCUGCAUUAUUUGUACGUUACCUACAGAAGAAGCACCGGCUAACUCCGUGCCAGCAGCCGCGGUAAGUACGGAGGGUGCGAGCGUUAAUCGGAAUUACUGGGCGUAAAGCGCAUGCAGGCGGCCUGUUAAGUCAGAUGUGAAAGCCCGGGGUCUUAACCUCGGAAUUGCAUUUGAAACUGGCAGGCUAGAGUCUUGUAGAGGGGUUAGAAUUUCAGGUGUAGCGGUGAAAUGCGUAGAGAUCUGAAGG